AUUGAACGCUGGCGGCAGGCCUAACACAUGCAAGUCGAGCGGAGCGGCGGACGGGUGAGUAAGGCCUAGGAAUCUGCCUGGUAGUGGGGGAUAACGUCCGGAAACGGGCGCUAAUACCGCAUACUAUCAGAUGAGCCUAGGUCGGAUUAGCUAGUUGGUGGGGUAAAGGCCUUCCAAGGCGACGAUACGUAACUGGUCUGAGGGGAUGAUCAGGCAGACUGGAACUGAUACACGUUCCAGACUCCUACGGGAGGCAGCGGGGGGGAAUGUUGGACAAUGGGCGCAAGCCUGAUCAAGCCAUGCCGCGUGUGUGAAGAAGGUCUUCGGAUUGUAAAGCACUUUAAGUUGGGAGGCGUUACCAACAGAAUAAGCGCCGGCUAACUUCGUGCCAGCAGCCGCGGUAAUUC
rnacentral:rRNA from 1 species